rnacentral:tmRNA from 1 species
GGGGGCGACUGGUUUCGACGAAGUGCCUGAGGGGCUCAGGGGCAUAGCGAGGCUCCUCUGUUGCCUCGUUAAUAACAACAGAGGAACUACAGCUGCCAAUAGCAGCUACGCACUGGCUGCCUAAAGUAAGGUAGCCCCUGGACCGACGAGUUUCACCCGGCGUCGGUUGCGGGUAUAAAAGGGUGAUCAAGGUUGUUAUUGUGUCUCAGGGUAACAACCGGAUUCUUACUGGGGCUGGUCUACCGCAGCCUGUCAGUCGGCGCCGCGGUGGAUGAGAAAUAAUAGACUGACUAACUAUGUAGAACCUGAGCUCUGAACGCUUCGGACGCGGGUUCAAUUCCCGCCGCCUCCAUUU